CCCCUUUCUCUCCCAAAACCCUCAAUCUCUAUCUCUAUCUCCAUCUUUUGUCUCUAAGUCUCUUUAUCUUCAUCAGCUGCUGUCCACUAUAGCCCAUGCAGGGUCUCUACUGCCCGCAACCACAGCCACACAAACUCCACCGUCUGCGACCACGGCCACACAAGCUUCACUGAUGUUCGAUUGAAGAAGCUUCGGGAUGCUUCACUAUACCUUUAUGAUUGAAGGAAGGAACAAGGAUGAUGUAGAGGAAGCAAUUGCAAUGGUGGAAGCAUUAGAAGUUCAACUUACUCAGCGAGAAGAGGAACUAAUUCCAGAAAACGCUGAAGUGAAGAAGCUAGUUAAUUUUCUUAAGUAGGUUUUUUUAGCAUUUUAAACAAAUUUUGGGUGGUAUUUUUCAUAUCUUGGAAAAAGCAUGUAGUACUUCCAUGGCUGUGGUCGCGAUAUGUUUUUAAACUACUUACAUUGUAACCUUAUAAAUAGUAUAAUAUGUGACUUUUUUUUUAACAAA